rnacentral:rRNA from 1 species
GACCUCAAAUCAGGUAGGACUACCCGCAGAACUUAAGCAUAUCAAUAAGCGGAGGAAAAGAAACUAACAAGGAUUCCCCUAGUAACGGCGAGUGAACCGGGAAGAGCUCAAAUUUGUAAUCUGGCGUGCUCCGCGCGUCCGAGUUGUAAUCUACAGAGGCGUUUUCCGCGUCGGACCGUGUCCAAGUCCCUUGGAACAGGGUAUCAAAGAGGGUGACAAUCCCGUGCUUGACACGACGACCGAUGCUAUGUGAUACGCUUUCUACGAGUCGAGUUGUUUGGGAAUGCAGCUCAAAAUGGGUGGUAAAUUCCAUCUAAAGCUAAAUAUUGGCGAGAGACCGAUAGCGAACAAGUACCGUGAGGRARAGAGUKAAACAGUACGUGAAAUUGUUAAAAGGGAAACGAUUGAAGUCAGUCGUGUCGGUCGGGUUCAGCCAGGUCUCCUGGUGUAUUCCCGGCCGGCGGGUCAACAUCAGUUUGAGCCGGCGGAUAAUGGCUGGAGGAAGGUAGCACCCUCGGGUGUGUUAUAGCCUCCUGUCGCAUACGCUGGCCCAGACUGAGGACUGCAGCUCGCCUUUAUGGCAGGGGUUCGCCCACUUCCGAGCUUAGGAUGUUGACGUAAUGGCUUUAAACGACCCGUCUUGAAACACGGACCAAGGAGUCUAACAUAUCUGCGAGUGUUUGGGUGUCAAACCCGAGCGCGUAAUGAAAGUGAACGAAGGAGGGAUCCGCAAGGAGCACCUUCGACCGAUCUGGAUCUUCUGUGAUGGAUUUGAGUAAGAGCAUAUAUGCUGGGACCCGAAAGAUGGUGAACUAUGCCUGAAUAGGGCGAAGCCAGGGGAAACUCUGGUGGAGGCUCGUAGCGAUUCUGACGUGCAAAUCGAUCGUCAAAUUUGGGUAUAGGGGCGAAAGACUAAUCGAACCAUUU